UUGUUUUCAGUUGUGUGUUGUGAAUUAUGAAAGGAAUUGUGUAACUUACAGUGAACCAAAUAACUUUACUUACCUGUGUGACCCUUCAAACUUCUGUACUGUAUGGCCUUAGGGAUUUGCUUGUUCUCUAUGGUCACAGUAGUCUGUGCCACGGCAGCUUAUUAGAUGCUGAUUGUUCUGCAUCCUGACACUGUAAAUAGCCAUUUCCUCCCCUGCUCCUCGUUUCCUCCCAUUUUGGUGUCAGUUGCU